rnacentral:lncRNA from 1 species
AGCAGUACACUAGUACCCGAAUCCAAGUAAACCUAGGGCUAAUCCCGCCCCCUCAAUCCCCCACAUUCCCAGAUCCACCCCAUUUCCACCCCGCAAAAGGAUCGACCCAGGGUGCGUGCGGGGGAGGGAGGGGGGCNAGGAUCUACAACUCUAAAUGAGGUGUAUGGGUAGCACGACUCAUUUCAUAUAUAUAAAUAAAUAAAUAAAUAAAUAAAACUAUUAAUUACAGUCCACGGAUCCGCUUUGAACCGUACGAUACUAGCCGCUGGGCCGGGUCCUUUGUUCUCCCUUCCCUUCCCUGAUCCUUCCCUUUCUUCAUCAACUUGGGCUAAUCCCGCCCCCUCAAUCCCCCACAUUCCCAGAUCCACCCCAUUUCCACCCCGCAAAAGGAUCGACCCAGGGUGCGUGCGGGGGAGGGAGGGGGCUAGGGCAGCGUGAAAUGGGCGACUUCAGCGUGAUCCUAGUAGUGCUGGCGGCGGUGGUGCCGGUGCUGGUUCUGGCGGUGAGCGUCUACCUUCUGGUGAACUACC